rnacentral:rRNA from 1 species
AGUGAACGCUGGCGGCGUGCCUAAUACAUGCAAGUCGAACGGAGUGGCGCACGGGUGAGUAAGAUAUAGCUAAUCUUCCCCUUGCUGGAGGACAACAGUGAGAAAUGACUGCUAAUACUCCAUAGAAAGGGAUGCGACUAUAUCGUAUCAGCUAGUCGGUGGGGUAACGGCCUACCGAGGCUAUGACGCGUAACUGGUCUGAGAGGUUGAUCAGUCACAUUGUAACUGAGACACGGUCCAAACUUCUACGGCAGGCAGCGGUAGGCUAUAGUGCCCAAUCGGCGUAACCCAGACGCGUCAACGGCGCGUGGAGGACUACUCUUAUCGGAGCGUAAACUCCUUUUUUUAGGGAAACGGUACCUAACGAAUAAGCACCGGCUAACUCCGUGCCAGCAGCCGCGGUAAUAC